rnacentral:rRNA from 1 species
UACGAAGGAUUCGAGCGUUAUCCGGAUUUAUUGGGUUUAAAGGGUGCGUAGGUGGACUAAUAAGUCAGUGGUGAAAGCCCGCAGCUUAACUGCGGAACUGCCAUUGAUACUGUUAGUCUUGAGUACAGUUGAGGUGGGCGGAAUGUGUCAUGUAGCGGUGAAAUGUUUAGAUAUGACACAGAACACCGAUUGCGAAGGCAGCUCACUAAGCUGUAACUGACACUGAGGCACGAAAGUGUGGGUAGCAAACAGG